AUGACUUGUAUGAAGGAUUGGAUGAAAUAUAAACUGUCUCUUAAUUAUAUUUAGAAUUUAAUUUUUUAAUUAAAAAGUUAAAAUGAAUUAAAAAGACGAGAAGACCCUAUAGAGUUUUAUAAUUAAAUUAAUUGAGAUUUUUUAUAAGAUUAAAAUUAAAAUUAAUUUAUUUAUUUUGUUGGGGUGACAGAAAAAUAUGGAGAACUUUUUUUAUAAUAUUACAUAAAUAAGUGGUUAAAUGAUCCAAUAUUAUUGAUUAUAAGAAAAAAUUACCUUAGGGAUAACAGCGUAAUUUUUUUUUUUAGUUCAUAUAAAAAAAAAAGUUUGCGACCUCGAUGUUGGAUUAAGAUAAAAUUUAAAUGCAGAAG
rnacentral:rRNA from 1 species